UAAAGAUCUGAAAAGUUCUCUUGACAUCAUCUAAAUCCGAGCAAUAGUAUCAACCGACCACAAUGCAAAAGUACCUUCUCAUCGCUUUGAUUGUCGUGGUCUUGGCCACUUUAGCCAUGAGCUUCGACCUCAACCACGAUCAGAUGGAAAGUCUGAUGCGUUCUGAUGAAGGGGACAUUUACGAGGAUAGACAAUAUGGGGACGAAAGUGGAAGUGGAAUGGAGUGGAUUGACGAAAAUGGAAGCAUCGAGAUCGUGAACUAGGAACCCGCAAUUGCUCAGUUGGAUCGAGUAUGGUGGAAUUAUAAUUUCAUAUUAUAAAUUAUAUUUAUCGUCCAGUCUCCAAAUAUGGUUGCCUUGAACAUGAAAUGAACUCUGGGAAGCUUUCGGCA